AAGGCAAACUGGCUUAUCGCUGCCUGUCGUUUGACAGGGGGAGGAAAGUCCGGGCAGCACAGAGUACCGUACUUCCUAACAGGAAGGAUUCAUCAUUGAUGGAUACAGAUAGUGCCACAGAAAACAAACUACCUAUUUGGAUACAGAGGCCACUGAGCGUAGUCGAAGUGAGGUGAAGUUACCAAAUGGGAAAAGGUGAAAAGGUGAGGUAAGAGCUCACCGGGCUGUUGGUGACAAGAGUCGCAUGGUAAACCUUACGGGCUGAAAGACCAAAUAAACCCAGGUACGUCGAAUGUAUGUUCGGUGGAAAGAGUAACUCGCUCUACUGGGAGGGUAGGUCGUUCGAUCCUGUUCGUGAGGGCAGGGCUAGAUAAAUGAUAAGCGUCGUGCAAGCGAUUACAGAACCCGGCUUAUGGUUUGCCUUUUAU
rnacentral:RNase_P_RNA from 2 species